rnacentral:rRNA from 1 species
GAGUUUGAUCUUGGCUCAGAAUGAACGCUGGCGGCAUGCCUAACACAUGCAAGUCGAACGAAGGCUUCGGCCUUAGUGGCGCACGGGUGCGUAACGCGUGGGAAUCUGCCCCUUGGUUCGGAAUAACAGUUGGAAACGACUGCUAAUACCGGAUGAUGACGUAAGUCCAAAGAUUUAUCACCGAGGGAUGAGCCCGCGUAGGAUUAGCUAGUUGGUGUGGUAAAAGCGCACCAAGGCGACGAUCCUUAGCUGGCCUGAGAGGAUGAUCAGCCACACUGGGACUGAGACACGGCCCAGACUCCUACGGGAGGCAGCAGUGGGGAAUAUUGGACAAUGGGCGAAAGCCUGAUCCAGCAAUGCCGCGUGAGUGAUGAAGGCCUUAGGGUUGUAAAGCUCUUUUACCCGGGAUGAUAAUGACAGUACCGGAGAAUAAGCUCCGGCUAACUCCGUGCCAGCAGCCG